rnacentral:rRNA from 1 species
AAUCACAACAAUUCGCGUGGUGUCUUUGACACCGACUCGCUCGUGUUCACGUCCGAUUAGGUGUCGUUGGUAGUGUAUUGGACUACCAAACCCGCAAUCGGUAACGGGGGUUUAGGGACCGACUCCGGCGAGAAAGCCUGAGAAACGGCUUUCAGUUCUAUGGAAUGCAGCAGUUGCGAAACGUGCCCAAUGAACCCCGUGUUCGAGGCCGAGACGACCAAUAUCAAAGCGAGGCUCUCAGAGUUUUGCUAUUGAAAUGGAUCGGGUUUAAACCACCCGGUGAGGAUCAAGCAGAGGGAGAGUCUGGUGCCAGCAGCCGCGGUAAUUCCAGCUCUGCGAAGGAACGUAUAAAUUGUUGCAGUUAAAAAACGCGUAGCAGUGUGUCGCCCUGGUUGUGUAGGGUUUGCCCUCCUUUGGGGGGUGGAUCCUAUGCGCAGGGCUUCGGCUCCCGUGCCGUGCCUCGCAAGGGGUGCGGAUUGCGGGGCCACCAUUACUGUGAGUAAAUCGGAACGCUCAAAGUGGGUAAUCGCUUAACGCUUCUCAUGGAAUAAUCCCUUUAAGACAUUAAAGGUUGAUUGGUUUCCUUUAAAGUCUUUUCAAACAGGAACAGGUGGGGGAGAUCGUACCUUGCAGCUAGAGGUGAAAUUCUUUGAUUUGCAAGAGACGAACAACAGCGAAGGCAUUCUCCAAAAAUGUUUUCAUUUGUCAAGCGUGAAAGCCGGAGGAUCGAAGAAGAUUAGAUACCUUUGUAGUUCCGGCCCUAAACGAUGCCGACUCGGGAUUAGAGGUCGUUAUUUUGACUCCUCUAGUACCGUAUGAGAAAUCAAAGUCUUUGGGUUCCGGGGGGAGUAUGAUCGCAAGGUUGAAACUUAAAGAAAUUGACGGAAGGGCACACCAGUAGUGGAGCCUGCGGUUUAAUUUGACCCAACACGGGGAAACUCACCAGGUCCAGACAUGAGAAGGAUUGACAGUUUGAAAGCACUUUCUUGAUUUUAUGGGUGGUGGUGCAUGGCCGUUCUUAGUUGGUGGAGUGAUUUGUCUGGUUGAUUCCGAUAACGAACGAGACCCGGACUGGUAAAUAGCCCGCAUUAACUUUCGUUAGUGUGCUGGCUUCUUACUGGGACAACUCGCCUUUAGCGAGAGGAAGCGCCGGGCAAUAACAGGUCUGUGAUGCCCUUAGAUGUUCUGGGCUACACGCGCGCUACAAUGAUGGCUUCAACGAGUUUUUGCUUGCCCGGAAGGGCUCGCUAAUCUUUUCAAUGGCCAUCGUGAUGGGGCUAGAUUCUUGUAAUUAUUAAUCUUCAACGAGGAAUUACUAGUAUGUGCGGUUCAUCAGACCGCGCAGAAUGCGUCCCUGCCCUUUGUACACACCGCCCGUCGCAGCUACCGAUGAGUCAUUUCGUGAGGGCUUUGGAGAGGUCCGAUUUGGUUUCGGCCGGGUUGGAUCUCGAAGCUGCUCAAACGACACGAUUUAGAGGAAGCUGAAGUCGUAACAAGGUC